rnacentral:rRNA from 1 species
GAGUCUAGCAUGUGCGCGAGUCAUUGGGACUCUAACGAAACCUAAAGGCGUAAUGAAAGUGAAGGUUCGCCUCGCGCGAACCGAGGGAGGAUGGACGGUCGUCAAUGGCCGUCCCGCACUCCCUGGGCGUCUCGUUCUCAUCGCGAGAAGAGGCGCACCAAGAGCGUACACGCUGGGACCCGAAAGAUGGUGAACUAUGCCUGGUCAGGACGAAGUCAGGGGAAACCCUGAUGGAGGUCCGUAGCGAUUCUGACGUGCAAAUCGAUCGUCGGAACUGGGUAUAGGGGCGAAAGACUAAUCGAACCAUCUAGUAGCUGGUUCCCUCCGAAGUUUCCCUCAGGAUAGCUGGCGCUCGCUUCUCGCGAGUCUCAUUCGGUAAAGCGAAUGAUUAGAGGCAUUGGGGUCGAAACGGCCUCAACCUAUUCUCAAACUUUAAAUGGGUGAGAUCUCCGGCUUGCUUGAACUAUGAAGCCGCGAGAUAUCGGAUCAGAGUGCCAAGUGGGCCACUUUUGGUAAGCAGAACUGGCGCUGUGGGAUGAACCAAACGCUGAGUUAAAGCGCCUAAAUCGACGCUUAUGGGAUACCAUGAAAGGCGUUGGUAACUUAAGACAGCAGGACGGUGGCCAUGGAAGUCGGA